rnacentral:rRNA from 1 species
ACGGGAGGCAGCAGUGAGGAAUAUUGGUCAAUGGGCGAGAGCCUGAACCAGCCAAGUCGCGUGAAGGAUGAAGGUUCUAUGGAUUGUAAACUUCUUUUAUUCGAGGGUAAAGUGACGGACGUGUCCGUUAUUGCAAGUAUCGAAUGAAUAAGCAUCGGCUAACUCCGUGCCAGCAGCCGCGGUAAUACGGAGGAUGCGAGCGUUAUCCGGAUUUAUUGGGUUUAAAGGGUGCGUAGGCGGGAUUCUAAGUCAGCGGUAAAAGCGUGUGGCUCAACCAUACCAAGCCGUUGAAACUGGAGUUCUUGAGUGUAAACGAGGUAGGCGGAAUGUGACGUGUAGCGGUGAAAUGCUUAGAUAUGUCACAGAACCCCGAUUGCGAAGGCAGCUUACCAGCAUACAACUGACGCUGAGGCACGAAAGUGUGGGGAUCGAACAGGAUUAGAUACCCUGGUA